GCCCCAAUGGCGGAAUCGGUAGACGCAGCAGAUUCAAAAUCUGCCGUUCGCAAGGACGUGUCCGUUCGAGUCGGACUUGGGGCACCA
rnacentral:tRNA from 1 species